rnacentral:rRNA from 1 species
UACGGGGGGAGCAAGCGUUGUUCGGAUUUACUGGGCGUAAAGGGCGCGUAGGCGGCGCAACAAGUCACUUGUGAAAUCUCCGGGCUUAACCCGGAGCGGCCAAGUGAUACUGUCGUGCUAGAGUGCGGAAGGGGCUACUGGAAUUCUCGGUGUAGCGGUGAAAUGCGUUGAUAUCAUCAGGAACACCGGAGGCGAAGGCGGCUUACUGGGGCCUUUCUGACGCUGAGGCGCGAAGGCCAGGGGAGCAAACGGG